rnacentral:rRNA from 1 species
GUCAGCAAGUUCACCGGUGAGUCUAAGCCUGUAACUUGGCUUGAGGACUACCGAGUGGCGGUUCAGAUUGGUGAUGGGAAUGACGAGGUGGCCAUGAAGCAUUUGCCCCUCAUGUUGGAAGGUUCUGCCAGAGCGUGGUUGACUCAGUUACCUCCUAGCAGCAUUUACACUUGGGAAGAUCUGUCCCGAGUGUUCGUCAGAACGUUUGAAGGAACUUGCAAGCGACCGGCUGGAUUGAUGGAGCUGCAAGUCUGCGUGCAGAAGACCAAUGAGACUCUCAGGGAGUAUAUUCAGAGAUGGAUCACUUUGCACCAUACUGUGGAGAAUGUGUCUGAUCAUCAGGCAGUCUGCGCCUUCAAGGAUGGUGUCAAGAACAGAGAAUUGAGUUUGAAAUUUGGUCGAACCGGAGACAUGACCUUGAGUCGGAUGAUGGAAAUUGCUACCAAGUACGCCAACGGCGAAGAAGAAGACCGACUCCGAAGCGGCAAGCACAAGCCGAGCCAGUCGGAGAAGGGAAACACCAGUCGGAAACAGAAGCGGAAGGCUGAACCGGCAGCUCCUGGAGAGGCUCUGGCCGUGACUCAUGGAAAGUUUAAAGGGAAACCAAAAGGAUCCUGGAACCCUAAGAAGGUAAAGGAUAAAGAAGGGAACGACGUGAUGGAUAUGCCGUGUCACAUCCACACGAAGAAAGACGAAGAGGGGAAUAUCAUUUACCCAAAGCAUACCACUCGCCAAUGUCGACUCCUGAUCCAGCAGUUUCAAGGGAAACAGUCUAAAGACAAGGAAAAGGAGUCGAACAAGGCCGAAGACAAGGAGGACAGUGAGGAAGGAUAUCCACAUGUCAACUCCACUCUGAUGAUCUUUGCAGAUGUGGAAAGCAAGAGUCGAUUGAAAGUCAUUAACCGCGAGGUGAACAUGGUUACCCCAGCAAAAGCAAAUUAUCUGAAAUGGUCCCAAACACCCAUCACAUUCGACCAAUCUGAUCACCCGACUCAUAUUGCCACCCCUGGGAGGCGAGCUUUGGUGGUCGAUCCAGUUGUCGAAGGCACUCGACUGACAAAAGUGCUGAUGGACGGUGGUAGCGGGCUGAAUUUGUUGUAUGCAGACACACUGAAAGGAAUGGGCAUUCCGAUGUCCCGACUGAGCACCAGUAACAUGAGCUUUCAUGGAGUUAUACCAGGGAAGAAAGCCGAGUCACUCGGCCAAAUAGCUCUGGACGUGGUGUUUGGUGAUUCGAAACAUUUUCACAAAGAG